UACGGGGGGGGGCAAGCGUUGUUCGGAAUUACUGGGCGUAAAGCGUGCGCAGACGGUUGCGUAAGUCAGAUGUGAAAGCCCCGGGCUCAACCUGGGAAUUGCAUUUGAGACUGCGUAGCUAGGGUGCGGAAGAGGGAAGCGGAAUUUCCGGUGUAGCGGUGAAAUGCGUAGAUAUCGGAAGGAACACCAGUGGCGAAAGCGGCUUCCUAGUCCAGCACCGACGUCAGGCACGAAAGCGUGGGGAGCAAACAGG
rnacentral:rRNA from 1 species